CUUGUGCCACCACAAGAUCACUACCUACAUGGUUGUUAUAAACCAAAACGAGUGCUAAGAACAUCACUUGAAAUGAAGUUCUAGUAGCAUUGUCAUGAAGGUUUGGUAUCAUUUCCUAAACUGGUUCUCAGUGAAGGUGCUUCUGUGUCUGCCCCAGGUGUAAUGCAAUUGGGCUGAUAUCAGGACUGAUGCUUUCUUCUCUAUCCUCCCAUCAGUCAAGCUCUUCAUCACACAUACCCCCUUGAUUUUUUAACUGUGAGUGAGAAAGAAUGAAAAUGAAAUUGCUGCAAUAUCUGGACCACAUAAAACCCCAAUAAUCCUGUGUCUAUGUUCUUUAACUUCUGCCCUUAUUGGAGGCAUCCCUUGUCCAGUGUGAAGUGGAACUGAGAGUGACUGGGGGAAACAGACAGUGUGUUUAAGUAUUUGUAAAUCAUGAGCCUUGUGAGGUUUUGUAAUAAUCUUACUGCCUAUUUUGUGUUUUUGUGUAUUCGUCUAGCAACUGAUGAUAUCAAAAACAGAGAGAUCAGGAGGCUGAUAUUACACGCUAAGUCUGUUCUGUAAAAUCUCAGUAGCCUUUUGGUGCAUGGAACUUCGGCACACGCAAACUGUGACUGCAGCGACGUCCUCCUUGUUUACAGAAUUGGAAGUCUUGAGCAAAGCGAAGCUGACUCGUGGAGAAGCUGGUUUUCAAAAGAUACAAGCUCCAGAUAACUAAGGACAAGUGAAGCACACAACAAUAUAGAAAUCACUCGGUUUUACUGCAGCCAACUGAGACAAAGUGUGCUUUGAAGCUGGGAAAUUUCCAUUACUGAAGUGCAGGACAGUGCCUGGAUACUGCUGCUACUGCAGCUGAGAAAUAAAAGCAACUUAAUUUUACAUAGCAGCAAAAUGUCAGUAUGUUAAUUACAACUGUUAGAGUUUUAUAAGAUUUUAAGGAUGCCGUAAAAUGGAUUCCUUCUAAAAUAUUUAGGAUAUAAUUGUAAAUGACUUCUCUAAAACUAAGGAGCAUUAAAAGGACUUGAAAUUGUACCUAAGUUUUCAAGCUGUAUCAUAUUUGUGAACAUCAGAUCUGACAAGAACAUGACACGACAUCCCCUACGACAGUGACAGUGUGACAGCGGCAGAACGACAUCCAGUGUGAGUCCAAGGUUGUUACGGACAGCGUAGUUCUGCAGUUAAGGACUGUUUUUGCUCUCCGUGGGGUGCUCAAAACAAAUAUAGCUAUCUGUUCACCACUUUUAAGUCCAUAAUCUAUAAACCACCAUAAGCUUCCUGUAAAGUCAGUCAGAAUGCUGAGCAGAGAAGAAACGAAAUACUGGGGGCAAAAAAAAGUGAGUUCAUUUUGGCAUCAAUCAAAUUGCCCUGCACUUUGGGCAAGAUACUGCAUUUAACUUCCCAAUGGCAUAAAAUUGCAGAGAUGCUCAUUUAAGCCCGAGGUCACUUCACAUUGCCGAAGGGAUGGAUGACAUUUAAAUCAAAAUGCAUCCCAUGGGCUUUCAGCUGUAUGUCACUGGUUAAAUCGGGCCCAGGUAGGUUCUGAUUAGAAGCUAUUAGCAUUUGAUGCUCUUUAUGAAUCUGAGGAUGGUUCCCAGUGGAUCAGAGCUCGUAUCUGAGCAAUUUAAGUUUGUGUCACAUUCAUCACCAUGGUUCCUGACUGCCUUAGAAGUUAAAACACAUCUUUAUAAAACGCCUUGCAUGUCUUAUUUCUCUUUUUCUUCUCCUCCACUUGAAGUCUCCUUAAAUAGUGCUGGGAAAAUUCCUUCUGUACUGAAUGCCUGCAUUUGGUUUGGAUGAUGGGUGGGUUGGGGUCACCCCAAGGUACUGCGCACACAAACGCUGUGCUCUUGCAGCAGAUACCACCAGAGCUGUGCCUCCAGUGUGCCCAUACAAAUAAUGCAGCUAUUGCUGCAGUGAUGAUUUCAGGAGACACCGUUUUAAUUUUAGCAGAAAAAAAUGAAAUCCCCAACAAGCAACAUUGUAGGGCAGCUGUGUGUUGGUUCUUUUUCUAAGCCUGAUAAUGCUGUUCCUGGGAGCAGUGGGGCCUCUCAUAGUAUGCCACUUGCUUUUUCUGUUUACAGAACGUGAAGUUAACAGUUAAAGAUGGUAUCUGUAAGCACAGGGAGCCUCCAGACCCUGCCUGUAGGACGGACCUGUCUAUGGGCCUCCUCACUUGAUGCAAAGAUGGAGAUAGUGCAAACCACGGCAUGUUUAGCCCCACCUAUGGUAAGGCUUACCCUGUUUACUAAUACAGCCUUCAAACACAAGGCUGCAUUUCUGCCUGGGAAACUCUUCUUACCGCUGGUUUUGUUGCUGUUGGAGGCAUAGAAACAUUUUCUCCUCUCUGCUUUUCAUCAUUUUGUGGUAUCGGCGUUCCCUUAACAUAACCCAGUAUUUCGACCAUCAAACUAAUAACUUUAUUGAAACACUUUUACGUUCUUUCCAGAAUUGACACUUUAAUGUCACCUCGCUGAGGUAGAACAACAGCCAGUGUGGGUAAGGGCAGUGCAUUCAAAUGGGCGGAAAAACAAUUGGUAACAUUUCUACUUGGCCUGCCUAAUUCCAUAACAGUGCUGCUUCACUGAAAGGCAUACACGAAGCUCCAUCGCAAGAGGGACUGCUGGCAAAGCACACCACAGCCUUCUGACCUUGUUUAGCUCUAACUGGAUUAAACAUAUGGGAUCGCAGCACUCAUGGGAGAUGAGGGCUCUUCCACCAUCUCCUGGUCUGCCUGCUCGGUUUCCUUUUCCGUUCUGCUAUGCUUCAUUGAAGGCAGAAAUAACGUCCGUAUGCGGUAGCUCUGAUUCAGUGUUACUCUGGCAGGUUGUGUUUAAGCUGGGUUCCCUAGAUUACUGGAUCUGCGUUUGCCCAUGGCAGAUUUAUUUAAUCAGAACUGCAACCAUCGUUCAUUUUUGGAGUGCAGAGCCCUGGAAACCACGCUGGACUCCGUUUCGGCAAAUUUAAGCAUUUAUUCCCAUUUACCGCUGUCCAAAUUUCCUGAGAGAAAUAAAGCGGCGUUUGAAGUGGAGCACGCGGUUAGAACGACGCGCACCGCACACGUCUGCCAAGGGCAGCAGGACGGGAUCCCAACCCGGGCAGCCUCCGCUGCAGCGAGCAAAACCCGGGAGCAGCGGGACGGCCGCAGCGCUGCGCGGAGCACCGCCGGGAGAACCCACGGGAAGCGGCUGAAGCGAGGAGGGGUCGCAGCCCCACAGAGCCCGCGAGGCGCCCGGUGCCGAACGGCCG
ensembl:lncRNA